AUUCCCAACUGAAACCCUCGCACCCGAAUCGUCGAUGCACUUGCCCGUCGCCAUCAUUCGUCCCUAUCGUCCCUACGUACACGCACGACUCGAGCAGCAGUCGUGAGACGCCGCCCUCCAUCCAUCGCCCCAGAUCCACCCCUUCGCCGCCGCCGCUUCAUCCAUUCGCCGCCGCCGUUCCAUCGCUCCGCCGCGGAUCCAUCCCUUCGUCGUCGCCCCGCACAUCAAAGCCACCGCCCUCCAUCGGACCAUCCCCGUUUAGGACCCGCCGCGGAUCACGUCCAGGAUCCUGAAUUCUCGCUGGACCAAGGCGGCGUCCACCACGUCAUGGUGUUAUGCUAGCGGCGAUUGAGAGGCGAUCCGGGCUGCUAGGGUUUAACCAUGGCCUGGUCAUGCUGGCACUGGAGCAUGUGAGGUGAGCGCUGCCAGACUCGUCCGCCUCGCCAUCACUGAUGAUCGCGUCGGCUGUGGCCACGUCCCUAGGCUGUGAUGAUGGAGGGAACCGCCAUCACUGCCAGGCUCUCCACCCAUGGACGCGUCGGGUCGCUGCUCGGGGCCAGCCCCCCACUGUGCUAGAUCGCGCCUCGGCUUCAGCAGCCUGACCGUAGGGGCGAAGCAACAACACACUCAUACAGCAGGGAUCAGCCAUGAACCACAUGAUGGCACCGCCGCAAGAUUCCCAAGGGCAGCAAGGUCAUGUACGAGUUGGACAAGAAGGCGAGGCUCAUCAAGGCCAACCGCGUCCUCCACUCCACGGCCGGCCCACACAACUCAUCCUCCGUCUUCAGCAGCUGUGCAAGAGAGAUCGCGGUGACAAGUGAAAGACAGAGAUGAUUGUACAUCCUUGCUCCUUUUCUUCUUUCAGCAUUACACACGUAGCAACACCAUUCUUGCCAUCCAUCCCACAAUGACAAGAGCCUUUCUGGAGCACAAACCAGGGCAAUAUCUUUCGCUUAGAUGUUCAUUUUCAUUUUAAUUCACAACUUUUCCAGAAGGAUCAACCUAACCCGUGAUUUCUAUUUCUUUUUCAGAUCUGCUAUUCGGUAACAUGAUUUGGUGUGAUACUAGCUGACCGUUAAAAUCUGGUUUAGCUUUUAGUCCUAAUUUUUAUGAUAAAAUAAUAGUCAAUGUUCAGAUGCACUAUUGUGGUCUUUCAUCAAGUUGAAACCCAUUUUGAAGUUUCAAUAUCCCUUGAAUUCUUAAUGAGUGGAUGUUGAGGAGUAGUCAAUGUGUUCCGUUUCAUGUAGGUGGAUGCAGUUAUGGUUAUGGUGGCGUACAUCUAGGGCAUUUAACGGUUUAUGUGUGCGGAUACAAGAGGCAGAUUAAUGAUCAUGUUAAGGAGCAUGUUGAUGUUGCUGAGGUAUGCCCCCACCUCUUGAGAAUAUUGAUGACACUAUGAUCUCUUGAUGCCAAUUUCUUCAGUUCGUCGAUCACAUAUUUUUUGGUGCAAAAUGCCUGAAGCUUAUGACAUGGGUGAAGGUGUUAAUCAAGAAUAGAGAUUCUCAGUAGCAAUGCGGCGAUACAGACAAGCAGAGAUCCUAAGGCCAAAGAUAAAAUGAAUCCUUUUGCUGAACAGGAAGCAUGGGAAGAACAUCAAAUAUGUAAUGUUGUUUACUUGGAUUAACCACAUGUAAUCGGUAUUGCGACUGUCUUUAUGAUACCAUAUGUAUGCUCUUUGUUGUAUAUUUAGCAAUUGGUCGACUUGAUUUAGGAAAGUCAAAACUGGAAUUUGGAUCAGAAGAUAGAAAGCGGUCUUCUGAUGAAUGCCGGUUGUACAAGAGCAGCUCUGGUGCUCAGUGGAGGUCCUGAUGUAGUUGAUCUUGGAAGUUCUGAUGCUUGGUGGAGCCAUUCUUGCAGGCUGAAAUUCUGUAUUUUUCUGCAGGUUCUACAAGAGCAGCUCUAAUGCUCGGUGGAACCAUUCUUGGUUAUUAUCCCGUCAGAGUUCUGCCAUC